GAUCAACGCUGGCGGCGUGCCUAAUACAUGCAAGUCGAGCGAACGUACGAGAAGCUUGCUUUUCUGAUGUUAGCGGCGGACGGGUGAGUAACACGUGGAUAACCUACCUAUAAGACUGGGAUAACUUCGGGAAACCGGAGCUAAUACCGGAUAAUAUUUUGAACCGCAUGGUUCAAAAGUGAAAGACGGUCUUGCUGUCACUUAUAGAUGGAUCCGCGCUGCAUUAGCUAGUUGGUAAGGUAACGGCUUACCAAGGCAACGAUGCAUAGCCGACCUGAGAGGGUGAUCCGCAACACUGCAACUGAGACACGGUCCAGACUCCUACGGGAGGCAGCAGUAGGGACUCUUACGCAAUGGGCGAAAGCCUGACGGAGCAACGCCGCGUGAGUGAUGAAGGUCUUCGGAUCGUAAAACUCUGUUAUUAGGGAAGAACAUAUGUGUAAGUAACUGUGCACAUAUUGACGGUACCUAAUCAGAAGGCCACGGCUAACUACGUG
rnacentral:rRNA from 1 species